rnacentral:rRNA from 1 species
AUUGAACGCUGGCGGCAUGCUUUACACAUGCAAGUCGAACGGCAGCACGGGGGCAACCCUGGUGGCGAGUGGCGAACGGGUGAGUAAUGCAUCGGAACGUGCCCAGUAGUGGGGGAUAACGCGUCGAAAGAUGUGCUAAUACCGCAUACGCACUACGGUGGAAAGCGGGGGACCGCAAGGCCUCGCGCUAUUGGAGCGGCCGAUGUCCGAUUAGCUAGUUGGUGGGGUAAUGGCCUACCAAGGCGACGAUCGGUAGCUGGUCUGAGAGGAUGAUCAGCCACACUGGGACUGAGACACGGCCCAGACUCCUACGGGAGGCAGCAGUGGGGAAUUUUGGACAAUGGGCGCAAGCCUGAUCCAACCAUGCCGCUGAAGUGAAGAAGGCCUUCGGGUUGGUAAAGCUUCUUUCGCCCGAAACGGAAAUCGUCCCGGGCUAAUACCCCGGAUUGGAUGACGUACCGGAAGAAGAAGCACCGGCCUAACUACGUGCCAGCAGCCGCGGUAAUACGUAGGGUGCAGGCGUUAAUCGGAAUUACUGGGCGUAAAGCGUGCGCAGGCGGCUUCCUAAGUCAGAUGUGAAAUCCCCGGGGCUCAACCUGGGAACUGCGUUUGAAACUGGGAGGCUUGAGUGCGGCAGAGGGGGGUGGAAUUCCACGUGUAGCAGUGAAAUGCGUAGAUAUGUGGAGGAACACCGAUGGGCGAAGGCAGCCCCCUGGGCCAGCACUGACGCUCAUGCACGAAAGCGUGGGGAGCAAACAGGAUUAGAUACCCUGCUAGUCCACGCCCUAAACGAUGUCGACUAGUUGUUGGGGGAGUCUGUCCCUCAGUAACGUAGCUAACGCGUGAAGUCGACCGCCUGGGGAGUACGGUCGCAAGAUUAAAACUCAAAGGAAUUGACGGGGACCCGCACAAGCGGUGGAUUUAUGGGGAUUAAUUCGAUGCAACGCGAAGAACCUUACCUACCCUUGACAUGCCAGGAACCCUGCAGAGAUGCAGGGGUUGCCCGAAAGGGAACCUGGACACCAGGUGCCUGCAUGGCUUGUCGUCAGCCUCGUGUCGCUGAUGUUGGGUUAAGUCCCGCAACGAGCGCAACCCUUACCAUUAGUUGCUACAUUCAGUUGGGCACUCUAAUGGGACUGCCGGUGACAAACCGGAGGAAGGUGGGGAUGACGUCAAGUCCUCAUGGCCCUUAUGGGUAGGGCUUCACACGUAAUACAAUGGCGCAUACAGAGGGCUGCAAACCCGCGAGGGGGAGCCAAUCCCAAAAAGUGCGUCGUAGUCCGGAUUGUUCUCUGCAACUCGAGAGCAUGAAGUCGGAAUCGCUAGUAAUCGCGGAUCAGCAUGUCGCGGUGAAUACGUUCCCGGGUCUUGUACACACCGCCCGUCACACCAUGGGAGUGGGGUUCACCAGAAGGCGUUAGCCUAACCGCAAGGAGGGCGACGACCACGGUGAGCUUCAUGACUGGGGUGAAG